rnacentral:rRNA from 1 species
UACAGAGGGUGCGAGCGUUAAUCGGAAUUACUGGGCGUAAAGCGUGCGUAGACGGUUUCGUAAGUCGGGUGUGAAAUCCCCGGGCUCAACCUGGGAAUUGCAUUCGAAACUGCGAGGCUAGGGUACGGAAGAGGGAAGCGGAAUUCCCAGUGUAGCGGUGAAAUGCGUAGAUAUUGGGAAGAACACCUGAGGCGAAGGCGGGUUGCUGGGCUGAUACUGACGCUGAGGCGCGAAAGCCAGGGGAGCAAACGGG